UACAGAGACUGCAAGCGUUAUUCGGAUUCACUGGGCGUAAAGGGUGCGCAGGCGGCCAAGUGUGUGAGGCGUGAAAGCCUGGGGCUUAACUCCAGAAUUGCACCUCAAACUACACGGCUAGAGCAUUGGAGAGGGUAGUGGAAUUCCCGGUGUAGUGGUGAAAUGCGUAGAUAUCGGGAGGAACACCAGUGGCGAAGGCGACUACCUGGCCUGUUCUUGACGCUGAGGCGCGAAAGCUAGGGGAGCAAACGGG
rnacentral:rRNA from 1 species